ACGGAAGGCAGCAGUGGGGAAUAUUGCACAAUGGGGGAAACCCUGAUGCAGCGACGCCGCGUGAGUGAAGAAGUAUUUCGGUAUGUAAAGCUCUAUCAGCAGGGAAGAAAAUGACGGUACCUGACUAAGAAGCCCCGGCUAACUACGUGCCAGCAGCCGCGGUAAUACGUAGGGGGCAAGCGUUAUCCGGAUUUACUGGGUGUAAAGGGAGCGUAGACGGCAUGGCAAGUCUGAUGUGAAAGGUGGGGGCUCAACCCCCAAACUGCAUUGGAAACUGCCGGGCUGGAGUGCCGGAGAGGUAAGCGGAAUUCCUAGUGUAGCGGUGAAAUGCGUAGAUAUUAGGAGGAACACCAGUGGCGAAGGCGGCUUACUGGACGGUAACUGACGUUGAGGCUCGAAAGCGUGGGGAGCAAACAGGAUUAGAUACCCUGGUA
rnacentral:rRNA from 1 species